rnacentral:rRNA from 1 species
CCCUUAGAUGUUCUGGGCCGCACGCGCGCUACACUGAUGCAUUCAACAAGCCUAGCCUUGACCGAGGGGUCCGGGUAAUCUUUGAAACUGCAUCGUGAUGGGGCUAGAUUAUUGCAAUUAUUAAUCUUCAACGAGGAAUGCCUAGUAAGCGUGAUUCAUCAAAUCGCGUUGAUUACGUCCCUGCCCUUUGUACACACCGCCCGUCGCUCCUACCGAUUGAAUGUGUUGGUGAGGAGCUCGGAUUGGCAGCAGUUGGUGGUUCGCCACCGGCUAUUGCUGAGAAGUCCUCCAAACCGCCCCAUUUAGAGGAAGGAGAAGUCGUAACA